UACGGGGGGGGCAAGCGUUGUUCGGAAUUACUGGGCGUAAAGGGCUCGUAGGCGGCCAACUAAGUCGGACGUGAAAUCCCUCGGCUUAACCGGGGAACUGCGUCCGAUACUGGAUGGCUUGAGGUUGGGAGAGGGAUGCGGAAUUCCAGGUGUAGCGGUGAAAUGCGUAGAUAUCUGGGGAACACCGGUGGCGAAGGCGGCAUCCUGGACCAAUUCUGACGCUGAGUGAGCGAAAGCCAGGGGAGCAAACGGG
rnacentral:rRNA from 1 species